AAACCAUGAUGAGGACAACAUCGAAAUAAUUCUUUGUAUCCUUCCCUAACCGCAUACAAUGAUUCAGAAUCUUGUUGCAUGAAUGAUGUGAUAUCAUUCCUCAUUUU
rnacentral:snoRNA from 1 species